AGAAAUAAAGGGUUUCUGUCCACCUAAACGCUUGAGGGCUUAUAAUUUGAAACAAAUACAGGAAGUAGUGAGUUUGUAUUAACACAGAAUGCAGUAACUAACACGGUAAACUGGAGGGAAACGAAGAAAACGAAGCUUCUCACUUAAACACUGCUUUGACCACAAGUCAUAUAAAGAGGGUUGGAAACAAAGACCUGCUUCUAAUACAAGCCUGGCUCAGAUAAAGACCUGUGACCCUCUGCAGUUGAGAAAGAAUCUGAAUAAUUCACACACGACCAGAAAACAACUAAGAAGAGAGCGGCAAUAACAAAAAAGCAACAAUAUUAACUAAUCAAUCCUACACUCAUCAUCAUCAUCAGAAAGGCAUCUCUGUGGUCACUCUCUUUGUCUCUACAGUUGAAUUAAACCUCCAUCCAAAGCAGUUAUGGCAGGAGCAACCACCACCCUAGGCCUCUGUGUCAUGUUGAGCAUGAUGCAUUGGAUUUGCUUUGCAAACCCAAUGGAAAUAAAAGAACAUCUGGAUAAGAUGAAGGAGCAAGUUCGGCUAACUGAGGAAUUUAUAAAAGCUAGACAGACAGAAUUUGAGACAGAACGCGAGAGCGUUUUUGAGAUCCUGAGAGGAAAUGAUGCCAGACUGAAAUGCUUGAAAAUGCACUCAAACCUGUCUCCACCUGAGAUGGAAAAAAUAGAGAGUUACACGGAGAACACCAAUACUCGUGUAAGACGCUCAUUUACAGAAAUGGCUGAAGUACUGGAGGACCAUAAAUUCCAAUUGGAGCAAUUAAAAGCCCAGAUAAAUUAUUUCGAGUCUUCGCAGGAUGGGUUUAAUACCUUUGCAAUGUAGCUUCAGUUCAAUAUGCCAUAUUCUCAGUUUUCUGUUUUUUGCUCUGCUGAUUUUUCCUUCAUAAUAAAAACCUACUCAUAAGUAGAAAUUACAAA